AGUCCCUCACACAAAAUCUCUCUCUCCCUCUCUCUCACCUUAUUUCUCUCACUACAUAAAUUUUGGCAGCCAUGGCGGUGUCUAGCUCUUCGUUUGUAUCAAAUCAAUCUUUCUCCCCAUUCUUGAAAGCACCAAGAUCAAACCUCUGUGGCAGGAAACAGUUCUGUUUACGAGCAUCUGCCGGCCACCCAGAUGAAGAAGGGAAAAUGAUGAUAAGGAAAGAAAAAGAUGGCUGGAAAAUUGAUUUCUCAGGGGAGAAACCACCCACACCAUUGCUAGAUACAAUCAAUUACCCUGUUCACACGAAGAACCUAUCCACACAGGAUCUUGAACAACUAGCAGCAGAGCUUAGAGCAGAUAUUGUAUACAGUGUAUCGAAGACAGGAGGGCAUCUGAGUUCAAGCUUAGGAGUUGUCGAGCUAGCAGUGGCUCUGCAUCAUGUGUUCAGCACACCUGAUGAUAAAAUCAUAUGGGAUGUUGGUCAUCAGGCAUACCCACAUAAAAUUUUAACAGGAAGAAGGUCUAGGAUGCACACCAUAAGGAAAACUUCAGGGCUUGCAGGAUUUCCUAAAAGAGAUGAGAGUGUUUAUGAUGCCUUUGGCGCCGGACAUAGUUCCACAAGCAUCUCUGCUGGUCUUGGAAUGGCAGUUGCAAGGGACCUACUAGGGAAGAACAACAAUGUCAUUUCUGUAAUUGGAGAUGGAGCCAUGACAGCUGGACAAGCAUAUGAGGCCAUGAACAAUGCAGGAUUCCUUGAUGCUAAUCUAAUUGUUAUAUUAAAUGACAAUAAGCAAGUAUCUUUACCCACAGCUACUCUUGAUGGCCCUGCAACUCCUGUAGGAGCUCUCAGUAGUGCUUUGGCCAAGAUCCAAGCAAGCACCCAGUUCCGCAAACUUCGUGAAGCUGCAAAAAGCAUCACAAAGCAAAUUGGUGGUAAAACGCAUCAAGUUGCAGCAAAGGUAGAUGAAUAUGCAAGAGGAAUGAUUAGUGCUUCUGGGUCUACUCUCUUUGAGGAGUUGGGGUUAUAUUAUAUCGGUCCAGUGGAUGGGCACAACAUUGAAGAUCUAGUGACCAUAUUUCAAAAAGUAAAAGCAAUGCCUGCCCCAGGACCAGUUCUGAUUCACAUUGUGACAGAGAAAGGGAAGGGCUAUCCCCCAGCUGAGGCAGCAGCUGAUAAAAUGCAUGGUGUUGUCAAGUUUGAUGUUCAAACUGGGAAGCAAUUCAAGCCAAAAUCCCCUACACUUUCAUAUACACAGUACUUUGCUGAAGCUCUGAUCAAAGAAGCUGAGACAGACAAUAAGAUUGUAGCCAUUCAUGCUGCAAUGGGUGGUGGGACUGGUCUCAAUUAUUUCCAGAAGAGGUUUCCAGAUCGCUGCUUCGAUGUGGGCAUCGCUGAGCAACAUGCUGUUACAUUUGCAGCUGGUUUAGCCACUGAAGGACUCAAGCCCUUCUGUGCAAUUUACUCAUCAUUCCUGCAACGAGGAUACGAUCAGGUGGUACAUGAUGUCGAUCUUCAAAAGUUACCAGUCAGAUUUGCCAUGGAUCGAGCUGGUUUGGUUGGUGCAGAUGGACCCACCCAUUGUGGAGCAUUUGAUAUUGCAUACAUGGCUUGCUUGCCCAACAUGGUAGUCAUGGCUCCAUCUGAUGAAGCUGAGCUGAUGCACAUGGUUGCCACUGCAGCAGCCAUAGAUGACAGACCCAGCUGCUUCAGGUUCCCAAGGGGCAACGGAAUUGGAGCAGCUCUUCCUCCUAAUAAUAAAGGAACCCCACUUGAGAUUGGGAAAGGGAGAAUACUGAUGGAAGGCAACAGAGUUGCCAUUUUGGGAUAUGGUUCUAUAGUUCAACAAUGUGUAGAAGCAGCAAGUAUGCUCAGAACCCAAGGCAUUUCUGUGACAGUAGCUGAUGCGAGAUUUUGCAAACCUUUAGAUACAGAUCUUAUCAGGCAAUUGGCCAAGGAGCAUGAGUUCCUCAUUACAGUGGAAGAGGGUUCUAUUGGAGGUUUUUCUUCCCAUGUAUCUCACUUCCUGAGUUUAAGUGGCAUUCUGGAUGGACCCCUAAAGUUGAGAGCAAUGGUUCUCCCUGACAGAUACAUUGACCAUGGAUCGCCUCAAGACCAAAUUCAAGAAGCAGGCAUCUCAUCAAACCAUAUCACUGCCACAGUUUUAUCUCUCUUGGGGAAGCCAAAAGAAGCUCUUCAAUUCAAGUGAAGCAAGAAAAGAAUCAGAAUAUUGUCUCAGGAAUAGCAAAAGCCAUACAUAUCACUGCAAGUGUGAGACUAUUGUAAAAAUGCAAAUUAGUUCAUAUUUAGAUAUUAAUGUACAAAGAUAUGGGACUCCAAUCCCAUGACUAAAAAAUAUCUCAACAAGAAAGUUCAAAAUGAUUGAAUUGAGUUUGAAUCACCAAUAGCGCCUCUGUACUUAUACUAGUUCUAAUAUGAUAAACAUCUGACAGAACUUGAA
rnacentral:misc_RNA from 1 species